GAUUACAAGAGCCAUUGGCACAGCAGGUAUAAAGAGCAGCCCAGGCCCAGUCUCAGGAUGUGUUAAGGAUGGAACAGACCCAGAAUGCGCUAGUUUCAGGAAGAAUGCUUCCUCCUGGAGUAAAAUAGGCUUUCUUCUGUCUUGUAUUCAAGUAGCGUCUGAAUAUUUGUUUCAACACUGUAGAGAAAGUGAGGUCUGCUUUGGAUCCAUCUUGCUACGUGAGUGGCCCUGCAAUGGAUGGGUUUGUAAGUGCUUGUACACUGACACCAGAGCUCACAGCCCACUCUUGCCAAGUCUGACCUGUGAAAAGAUAAAAGGAAUAGUGGCCGCUACACAAAGCAUCUCUCGAGCUGGACCU